AGAUAGACAGUCAGCCAGCCAGUCAGUCAGGUAGAGGACGGUGACACAGGAGACAGCCAGUCAGGUAGAGGACGGAGACACAGGAGACAGCCAGUCAGGUAAAGGACGGAGAUACAGGAGACAGCCAGUCAGGUAAAGGACGGAGAUACAGGAGACAGCCAGUCAGGUAGAGGACGGAGAUACAGGAGACAGCCAGUCAGGUAAAGGACGGAGAUACAGGAGACAGCCAGUCAGGUAAAGGACGGAGAUACAGGAGACAGCCAGUCAGGUAAAGGACGGAGAUACAGGAGACAGCCAGUCAGGUAGAGGACGGAGAUACAGGAGACAGCCAGUCAGGUAGAGGACGGAGAUACAGGAGACAGCCAGUCAGGUAGAGGACGGAGACACAGGAGACAGCCAGUCAGGUAGAGGACGGAGAUACAGGAGACAGACAGUCAGGUAGAGGACGGAGAUACAGGAGACAGCCAGUCAGGUAAAGGACGGAGAUACAGGAGACAGACAGUCGGGUAGAGGACGGAGAUACAGGAGACAGACAGUCAGGUAGAGGACGGAGACACAGGAGACAGCCAGUCAGGUAAAGGACGGAGAUAC